rnacentral:rRNA from 1 species
CCUACGGGUGGCUGCAGUGGGGAAUAUUGCACAAUGGGGGAAACCCUGAUGCAGCGACGCCGCGUGAGCGAUGAAGUAUUUCGGUAUGUAAAGCUCUAUCAGCAGGGAAGAAAAUGCCGGUACCUGACUAAGCAGCCCCGGCUAACUACGUGCCAGCAGCCGCGGUAAUACGUAGGGGGCCAGCGUUAUCCGGAUUUACUGGGUGUAAAGGGAGCGUAGACGGCGAUGCAAGCCAGAUGUGAAAGCCCGGGGCUCAACCCCGGGACUGCAUUUGGAACUGUAUAGCUGGAGUGUCGGAGAGGCAGGCGGAAUGCGUAGUGUAGCGGUGAAAUGCGUAGAUAGUAGGAGGAACACCAGUGGCGAAGGCGGCCUGCUGGACGAUGACUGACGUUGAGGCUCGAAAGCGUGGGGAGCAAACAGGAUUAGAUACCCUGGUAGUC